AUUUAAAUAGUUUAAAAAAAAUAUUGGUUUGUGAAUCCAAAGAUAUUUAUAUAUGUAUUUUAAAUC
rnacentral:tRNA from 1 species